rnacentral:rRNA from 1 species
AUUGAACGCUGGCGGCAGGCCUAACACAUGCAAGUCGAGCGGGGUUUUCGGACCUAGCGGCGGACGGGUGAGUAAUGCGUAGGAAGCUGCCCGAUAGAGGGGGAUACCAGUUGGAAACGACUGUUAAUACCGCAUAAUGUCUACGGACCAAAGUGUGGGACCUUCGGGCCACAUGCUAUCGGAUGCGCCUACGUGGGAUUAGCUAGUUGGUGAGGUAAUGGCUCACCAAGGCGACGAUCUCUAGCUGGUUUGAGAGGAUGAUCAGCCACACUGGAACUGAGACACGGUCCAGACUCCUACGGGAGGCAGCAGUGGGGAAUAUUGGACAAUGGGCGCAAGCCUGAUCCAGCCAUGCCGCGUGUGUGAAGAAGGCCUUCGGGUUGUAAAGCACUUUCAGCGAGGAGGAAGGGUGGUGUGUUAAUAGCACAUCAUUUUGACGUUACUCGCAGAAGAAGCACCGGCUAACUCUGUG